AAAUGAAAUGUCAGAAAUGUGUCAAAGUCAAAGAUGAAGAUCUAGCUAGGUUAACCGGCCAAUUGCGCAAGAGAUAUCUUGUUAUGCAAUUAUGAUGGCGGAAAUUGUAUCGAGUGAUGUAAUAAGUGUAUUGUGUUGUGAGGUUGUGAGUGGAUAUGUUUAUUGUGUGAAUCAUAAGUAUUAGUGUGGUGUGGGGCGAACAUGUUAAUGCUGACCCGUUGCGGAUGACCAUGCGACACAGUAUGUGAAAUGCUUUCCAAUGAUAGUUCAAGGUCCAGAAGUGAUAUACUUUGGAUGAAUAUGGAGUGAAGCAGACAGGAGGCAGCCAAACCACUCCACAACACUGCUGGGGAUCCCCCAAGGACUGUGGGCCAAACCACAUAAGGCCCCUUAAAGGUGGUGGAAGGUCAUUCCAGCAGUGUGUGGCUGCAAAUCUGAAACUACCCCUGAAAGCUGCAGUUUUGUGAGGUGGGACCCUAAGCGGAGCAACUAUGGAGCGAAGACCAUGUCUGUAGCACGUUUCUUUCCAUGUCAGUUUUUCAAAUAAGUAGUGCGGCUUAUGGGUUGAAACAAUUCCAAACAUUAGGCUAGCAAGAUGCAGUUUUCGCCUGGCAGCCAUUUUUAACAUUUUAAUUUGAUUGAUAUAUGGCGUUACGUGGUGCCUGCGGGGGACUUUGAUGCAAAAUCUGACACAGGCAUUCUGAACCCGCUGUAUCAGCCUAUCUGUCCUAGCAAGCAAGCAAGGCCCGUAUACGGUAUCACAGUAAUUCAGCUUAGAUAGGACUAGAGUGUCAACAAGUUGUUUCCUAAGAGGCAGGCUAAGAAAAUUACGGAUAACCUCCUUUUUUUAAGUCGGUUAAAAAGCAGCUAAAUAAUAACCUCGUAAAUCUAAACCCGAUAUCACAAAAAAGAUCCCAAUAUUACCUACCUGCGACAUAAUAUUGAAAAAAUGUCCAAUCUUUCAGCAGAUUUUCAGUCUCGCUUUAAUAUCGCGUCAAAUUUUAACCCUUUGAACGUUCAAAAUAAAUUUGCCUUUAACCCUGCUUUUAGUGAAACAAGCGGGAAAUUCUCGAGGGUAUGACAUCGUGGCGUGCUUAAUUUUAAAGGCAUAUCAAGAAUAGUUACCUAUACUGGUUUAUACUGGAUUAGCUGGUUCAUGGUAUCACUAGCUUUUUAGGGUGCCGUACCCAAAGGGUAAAACGGGACCCUAUUGUUUUCGCUCCUCUGACCGUCCGUGCGUCCGUCCGUCUGUCACCAGGCUGUUUCUCAUGAACCGUGUUAGUAAGAGAGUUGAAAUUUUGACAGAUGAUGUAUUUCGGCUGCCGCUAUAACAACAAAUACUGAAAACUAAAAUAAAAUAAAUAUUUUCGGGAGCUCCCAUACAACGAACGUGAUUUUUUUUCUCAUUUUCUAAAUAAUGGUAGCGGAACAAUUCGUGCGCGAUUUUUGACUCGCACUUGGCCGAUUUUUCUUGCUAUCUGAAGAAAUAUGAAGAAGGUUAUCUCAGAAACCUCACUACCGAUUUGAGAGAUUUUUUUAGUGUUAGAUAAACCCUUUAUCGAGGGAGGCUUCAGGUUUUUUUACUAUCCGGGCGCGUGUGUAUAGCUCCCACGGGAUACGUGUGAAAUCAAUGGUGGAAGUUAGAAGGACAAAACAUUUUAUAAGUUUGAGAGAAAAAAAAAAGAAUCUUAGCGAAUAACCUGCCCAAUCAUUAAGAAGAAAUGUACGUCUAAGUGUCUCUUGAUUAUGAGAAUUUAGUCCAAUUAUUAUUGAAAAUUGAGCUUGGCAUGUCACGAAAAACUUUUUUCUGCCAUGGGCUAGUGGUAAUCCUAUUCCUAAACCUAUUUUAAAAAAUAUCUUUAAUACAAAAGAAGUGUUCUGUAUGUCUUUCUUUGUUAUGUAUGUAUUAAUUGUUAAGUGUGCAAUAAAGAAUAAUAAGUAUUUAACGAUGGAUUUCAAUUACUUAUAUAUUUGAAAUUACUCUUCUGGGGUUCCUGUCAAAAUCUUCAUUAGACAAAUUCACAGAUAGAUAGCUUACUGAAAUCCACAUUAAAUGAACUGACAGAACAUUACAUAAUGGCCUAAAAGCUCAUUCGUUCAAGUCAUUUUUAUAGCACUCCAAGUUAAAAGUCUAAAUUGUUUCAUUAUACAAGGCUUAGUCCAAAAGUAAUAAUGCUAACUGAAUGUUGGAACUUAUUUUAUUUUCGAAACGUUUCUAAGAUCUUGCUUAGACAAGGUUAGAAGGGAAUUUUAAUCUGAUCUGUUGUAAAGUAAAUUAUUCCAAAGUAUUAUAAUAUUCGAUUGAAGUUGGAGGCUUGGAAGAUUAGAAACUUGAGUAAAGUGGUUGCUAUUCAUAGGUUUUAUUAUUACACUAGCUGUUCCCCGCGGCUUUCAUCAUCUGCCUGGCCUUUUCCCAACUAUGUUGGGUUCGGCUUCCAGUCUAACAGGAUGCAGCUGAGUACCAAUGUUUUAUAUGGAGAUACUGUUUAUCUGACCUCCACAAUCCAUUCACGCGGGCAAGCCUUUUUUUUAAUGACGUCAAAAAUCACCAAAUGCCCCUCCCGAUGUUGGUUAGCAGCGGUGAGGGAGUGUCAGACUCUUACUGACUUAAGGCGAGGAAUUGGUCAACAAUAAUUCCAUAACCGGCCCGCGCAUCUAAGGCGCCAAAAGGGGUCGGAGCGUCUGAGCGGGGCGAGGAUAACAAUACGCGCGCUAGCUUAUAACUAAAAGUCGUAAGCGACAAAAUGGUUUUGUAAUUUUAAUAUUUAGAAAUGAUAAUUUAAUAAAAAUUCCUACUACAAUUUUAAAGAGUAUGUAUAUACUCAACUACUAAAAAAGUUAAGAGGCUUAAAUCGGUCCCGUUUGCCCAUAAUAUGUGAAUCUCUUUUUAAAAAGAGGUAUGUUUGAUAUAUUUUUCUCUGUUAUAAAAGUUACCUAAUCAUGUUUCUACAACUAACAAAAUAAGGUUUAUAUCAUGAACUUUCAGGUAACCAAGUUGUAUUUUGAUCCGUUUUGUAUUUACUGAGAAAAAUUGACAUCCUUGGCGCCAAAAAUUCCAAUUCGUCCUCUUAAACCGUCGUGUUCCGUCGUAGGCCUUUUAUGUACCAGGGCCGCGGUAACUCUGUUUAUCGGUAAGACUGUUUGUCGGACUUUCUGGCCUCUGACUACCCGUAACGACUGUCAAAGAUGUUUAAAUAAUCGUGCCCUCCGAAACUUGCUUCUUACUGUUGCUAACCCACUCAAAACCAAAUUACAACUUACCUAUUGCGUUAUACCAAAUUAUUUUGUAUUUUAUCAUCCAAAUUAUUCAAAUAGACUUCAAGAAUAUUAUUGAAGGGUACAAAAUGAAGGUUGUUUGAAAUUCAGAUAUUACUUUUAUUCCCUAUAGGAGAUAACAUCAGAACGUUUUAAUUAUACGGCUCAGUAACUAAGAGUUGUUUUGAAAAGGCUGAUAGCUACCAAGAUAGGGUGUAGAGUAAAUAAUAAUGAAGGUUUUGAAGGAUUAUUUAUUACGUAUUUACCGACUUUUUUGUAGUCUUAUAAAAAUAUACUAGGCUGAGCAAUGCAAAUCAUUAAUGCAAGCCUUAAUAAUAUACCGUCUUACCACAAAAACUUUUAAACGUCAGUUUAUGCCUUGUCUAAAAAAAUGUCAAAUUAUGACGUUGACAUAUGGUUCAUUUUGCAGCCAAAAUUUUAUUAGACAAGUGUAAAACAGGGUUUAAAGUUUUUGUAGUAAGGCCCUUUAUGUUUAA